GACGAACGCUGGCGGCGUGCUUAACACAUGCAAGUCGAACGGAAAGGCCCUGCUUUUGUGGGGUGCUCGAGUGCCGAACGGGUGAGUAACACGUGAGUAACCUGCUCUUCUUUUUCGGAUAACUUCAGGAAACUGGGGCUAAUACCGGAUCGGAGCCCCUGCAGCAUGGGGGGCGUGGGAUAGUCUAGGCGGUCGGGGAUGGACGCGCGGCUGAUCGGCUAGUUGGUUGGGGAGUGGCUUACCGAGGCAUGGACGGGUAGCUGGCCUGGGAGGGUGAACGGGGACAAGGGGCCUGAGAGACGGCCCAGUCUGGAACGGUAGACAGUAGUGGGAAGUCUUACACAAUGGGCGGACGCCGGCUGCAGAAACGCCGCGGGCGGGAUGACGGCCUUCGGGUUGUAAACAGCUUUCGCCUGUGACGAAGCGGGAGUGACGGUAAUGAGUAAAGAAGCACCGGCUAACUACGUG
rnacentral:rRNA from 1 species